rnacentral:tRNA from 1 species
GCCGAGAUAGCUCAGCUGGUAGAGCAACGCAUUCGUAACGCGUAGGUCAGGGGUCCGAAUCCCCUUCUCGGCUCCA